AGUGAACGCUGGCGGCGUGCUUAACACAUGCAAGUCGAACGAGAACGGAUUAUAGCUUGCUAUAAUUGUCAGCUAAGUGGCGCACGGGUGAGUAAUGUAUAGGUAAUAUGCCUCUUACUAAGGGAUAACAAAUGGAAACGUUUGCUAAUACCUUAUACUCCUUAUUAACAGAAGUUAAUAUGGGAAAGAAUUAUUGGUAAGAGAUUAGCCUGUAUUGUAUCAGUUAGUUGGUGGGGUAAGGGCUUACCAAGACUAUGAGACAUAACUGGUUUGAGAGGAUGAUCAGUCACGAUGGAACUGAGACUCGGUCCAGACUCCUACGGGAGGCGGCAGUGGGGAAUAUUGCACAAUGGAUGAAAGUCGGAUGCAGCAGCGCCGCGUGGAGGAUGACACAUUUCGGUGCGUAAACUCCUUUUAUAUGGGAAGAUAAUGACGGUAUUAUAUGAAUAAGCACCGGCUAACUCCGUGCCAGACGCCGCAGUAA
rnacentral:rRNA from 1 species